AUGAUAAGCAGUGAGUGAAUUGGGUGAAUCACUGGUGCCGACUCGCGUUUCAGGCACUGGGACUUUGUCGUGGAAUCUGGGGGUCUUGUAAUUGGGAGAGAAGUGAGGUUUCAAUAGGCAGAGUUUGAGCUCCGAGUUGCGGGAGCGCGAGCCAGCGACCUGUACGGCGCGAUAGGGCUCCUCGCAAGAACAAGUCGCACCUGUGAAGAGUUUUGCAGCUGGCAAGGCUGCAGAGCGAAGAAGGUGCCCCACGAGCCGUUUCCCCGAGUGAAAUUCAAAUUAUGCUGCUCCCAGCGAAUGAAGCGUUUGUCUCACGAGCCGCAGCGCUGGAGCAAGUUCGUGCUCAAAAGCAACGUUGGGAUAGAGGUAUCGCCGGUCACUUGUAGUGCCGUCGAAAACGUGCAGAGGGUGUACCUCUUCGCGUGGCUAUCUUGUUAGAGUUCGUGUACUGAGUGUAAACUCCCAAGAUGGGGAUGAGCACUCCACUUCUCGCCGAAACGGUUCUGCAGUGUUCGGUGCCUCAGCUAGCGGCCACGCUGAUUGAACGUUUCCAAAACGUAUGCGCUUCCCUGGAGGGGCUCCCUCUGAGGCGAAUGCAAGUACUGCCCAUUGUUUUCACGAUUAGAUUGGCAGCAGAGAAUCAGCUCUCCAUUCUGGGAGCCACAUGGAGGCGCAGCUCUGAAGCUGAGACUGAUAGCGAUGCUUUAGGAAAGGACGGAAACCAGAUUUAGCAUUACGCAGCGUUCCGGAGAAAACUGCUGCAAUAGACGCUUCCUUUUGGCGUGAAUACUACAUUCAUGUCGGACUAAAAUCGCACACUGAAC